AGUGAACGCUGGCGGUAGGCCUAACACAUGCAAGUCGAACGGCAGCACAGUAAGAGCUUGCUCUUACGGGUGGCGAGUGGCGGACGGGUGAGGAAUACAUCGGAAUCUACUUUUUCGUGGGGGAUAACGUAGGGAAACUUACGCUAAUACCGCAUACGACCUACGGGUGAAAGCAGGGGAUCUUCGGACCUUGCGCGAUUGAAUGAGCCGAUGUCGGAUUAGCUAGUUGGCGGGGUAAAGGCCCACCAAGGCGACGAUCCGUAGCUGGUCUGAGAGGAUGAUCAGCCACACUGGAACUGAGACACGGGUCAGACUUCCACGGGAGGCAGCAGUGGGGAAUAUUGGACAAAGGGCGCAAGCCUGAUCCAGCCAUACCGCGUGGGUGAAGAAGGCCUUCGGGUUGUAAAGCCCUUUUGUUGGGAAAGAAAAGCAGCAGGUUAAUACCCCGCUGUUCUGACGGUACCCAAAGAAUAAGCACCGGCUAACUUCGU
rnacentral:rRNA from 1 species